rnacentral:misc_RNA from 1 species
UUCUCGCGCGUCACAAUGACGCCGCGCGGCGCGGCGCACCUUUCGGCGCGCCUUUGUCGCGCCGCCGACGAAACGGACCGUCGCGGCGCGGACGCGGCCACAUCUCCAAGAACGCGCAGUCGCGCGCCGGUGCUGUCGGGUGGGAGGUGCGAUCAGCUGCGAGCACGCGAGGAGAGCGAGAUGUUCGUCCUGCAAAAGUCUAUAUUAUCGAUCAGUGGCAGAAACUGCGGAGGAUCAUGGACGCGAACGCUUCCACCUUUGCACGCCGCCGUGAGAGACAUUCCGCAAAGAGACAUCCACGAGGUUUCGGGAGAUGUGAUACCCAUCAAUAUGGUGAAGGGUAUCGGACAUCUCAGAGAUCCCCGACUUAAUAAGGGCUUGGCAUUCACUCUGAAAGAAAGACUAGCUCUGGGGAUACAUGGUCUGCAACCGCCUAGAUUUAAGACACAAGAGGAACAACUGGCUCUGUGUAAAGCUUCAGUGAUGAAGUACUCGGAGGAUUUAAACCGAUAUUUGUAUCUAGUGGAGCUUCAGGAAAGAAACGAAAGAUUAUUUUUCCGCUUGUUGAGCGAGAACAUCGAGCAGAUGAUGCCAAUCGUUUAUACACCUACGGUCGGUUUGGCCUGCCAAAAGUUUGGCGUUAUUUAUCGCAGACCUCGCGGACUUUUCAUCACUAUAUACGACAAGGGCCAUAUUUAUGAGAUCUUAAAUAAUUGGCCAGAACAAGCAGUGCGCGCCAUUUGCGUGACAGACGGCGAGAGAAUUUUAGGUCUUGGUGACCUCGGUGCUUGCGGUAUGGGUAUUCCGGUUGGAAAACUGGCGCUUUAUACAGCGCUAGCUGGUAUUAAACCGCAUCAAUGCUUGCCGAUCGCCAUCGAUGUAGGCACUAAUAACGAACAGCUGAGGAACGAUCCUCAUUACAUCGGUCUUAACAAGCCUAGGAGUCAAGGUGCCGAGUAUGACGAACUAAUCGACGAAUUUAUGGCUGCCUGUGUGCAGAAGUACGGACAAAACGUUCUUAUCCAAUUUGAGGACUUUGGAAACCACAACGCCUUCCGCUUCCUGGACAGGUACAGAGACAAGUAUUGUACGUUCAACGAUGAUAUACAAGGCACGGCCGCGGUUGCGGUGGCUGGAAUCUUGGCGUCAAAGAGAAUAACGAAGAAGAGAAUGGCAGAUAAUAAGUUUGUCUUUCUGGGUGCCGGAGAGGCAGCUAUCGGGAUCGCCGAUCUCUGCGUCAAAGCAAUGAUGGCUGAUGGUUGCACCGAGCAGCAAGCGCGCGAUAACAUCUGGAUGAUGGACAUUGAUGGACUACUCGUGAAGAAUCGGCCCGAAGGUAAUCUGGACGGCCACAAAAUCUGGUACGCAAAGGACCAUAAAGUGACGAAGACCCUGAUCGACGUCGUGAAAGAGAUCAAACCCACCGUUCUAAUAGGCGCUGCGGCGGCGGCAGGGGCAUUCACACCCGAGGUUCUAGCAGAGAUGGCAAAAAAUAACGAGAGGCCGUUGAUCUUCGCUCUAAGUAAUCCAACCAGUAAAGCUGAAUGCACGGCGCAGCAGGCGUACGAGUAUACCAAUGGUAGAUGUAUAUUCUCCUCGGGUUCACCGUUCGGCGAAGUGAAAUAUAACGGGAAGACGUACAAGCCUGGACAAGGCAAUAACGCGUAUAUCUUCCCCGGUAUCGCCUUGGGCGUUAUCGCAACCGGAGUCCACCAUAUCACUGAAGAUUUGUUCCUGAUCUCCGCACAGGCCGUUGCUGACCACGUGAAAGACGAGGAUCUUGAAAGGGGUAGUCUGUAUCCACCGUUAAACAGUAUCCGCGAGUGCUCCAUCGACAUUGCAAUUAAAAUAGCGGAUUACGCUUACGCGAAAGGCGGCUUGGCGAGUGAGUAUCCCGAGCCGAAAGAUAAACGAGAAUUUAUCAUAAGUAAGAUGUACGAUGCCAAUUAUGACAGUCCACUGCCAAAUCUGUACGAAUGGCCGGGCGAUUCUGCCAAACCUCGCAUCUUACCGGAGAAAGACACAAUAGAAAUCCGCCACGAUUUAAAACAUCUGUAGCGGAUUUUAUCGGCCGGAAGUAGUUGGAGGCUAUCAUUAUUGUCUGUAAUGAUAAAAAUAUCAAUGUCUCUUCAGCUCAUAAUCAAUGUCACUCACGACAUUUGCAAACAUCAAAACAUCUUGCACAUAGUUUUAAUCAUUAUGACGCGUUGGUGAAUGUAAACACAAGACAACUACUUUGACAUAUACUUAAUUUAAUCCAUUAUGGUUGGCAUUAAAACGUUAAUAUAUUUUAUGUAUUAUUGCGAAUAACUAAAUCGUAUAUUUAAUAAGAAAUUAAGCAAUUACAAGUAAUCAAUGUCAAUUGCGUUUAAAUAUGUUUAUGUACUUAUUUAUUUCAUGUAGCGAAUAUUGCGUUUUAGUGCAACACAGAAUCAACCAUUCACUAGCUUUGACAUGGAUUGUCAGGUUCCAGUAAUAUAGAUUAUUUAUUUUUCCAAGACAUUCACUUGAAAAUACUACAAAAUUAUCAUUAUAACAAUGUAGUAUACAAUAUAUCAUCGCAAUAUAUCUAUUGUGUAUUUUAAAACUAUAUAGUUAAUGAAUAGUAACCGUUCGUUACAACUAAUUGAUGUAUGAUUCUUUAUUAGAAAUGAGUUAGCAUCAUCUUCAUGAUUCUUUUUUAUGAAUUGUAACAUCAAAACAAAUGAAAUUUCAAAAAGAGAUUCAGUACAAGACCAUGAAGAAAUAGCGUCAUUUUUAGGUACAAAUACAUUCACGUUAACCAAAUAUAUUUUGUUUGAUGUGAUUGGUAUAUCUAAUAAAUUGCAGAGGAGCGUCGAAAGAAAUGUUAUAUAUAUAUAUAUAUAUUGUUAUAUAUAUAUAGUUUGGUAAUAGCAAUACUUUUUGUACUCUACUGUGCGCAUCUUAGUAAAAAGAAGCGUUUACAAAUUUGUUAAAUGAAACAUCGGAAUCUAUUUACGUUGUAUGAGAUGAAAGUACUUAUUUCUCUCGAUAAUAUCGACAUUUUAUUAAUUGCUAUGACAGAAGAGGAAACUUUUUUGUCUGUACAAUUCCCGUACAGCAAAAUGCUGCCGCAAA